rnacentral:tRNA from 1 species
GCCGCGGUAGCUCAGCCUGGGAGAUCGUCUCGGACCUAAGAGCACUCGGCUGAAGACCGAGGUGUCGCCGGCUCAAAUCCGGCCGCAAGGCUUGGGAGUGUCCGGCCCGCGGCA